CCUACGGGAGGCAGCAGUGGGGAAUAUUGGACAAUGGGCGCAAGCCUGAUCCAGCAAUGCCGCGUGAGUGAUGAAGGCCUUCGGGUCGUAAAGCUCUUUUACCCGGGAUGAUAAUGACAGUACCGGGAGAAUAAGCUCCGGCUAACUCCGUGCCAGCAGCCGCGGUAAUACGGAGGGAGCUAGCGUUGUUCGGAAUUACUGGGCGUAAAGCGCACGUAGGCGGUUAUUCAAGUCAGAGGUGAAAGCCCGGGGCUCAACCCCGGAACUGCCUUUGAAACUAGAUGACUAGAAUCUUGGAGAGGUCAGUGGAAUUCCGAGUGUAGAGGUGAAAUUCGUAGAUAUUCGGAAGAACACCAGUGGCGAAGGCGACUGACUGGACAAGUAUUGACGCUGAGGUGCGAAAGCGUGGGGAGCAAACAGGAUUUGAUACCCUGGUAGUCCACGCCGUAAACGAUGAUAACUAGCUGUCCGGGUACUUGGUAUUUGGGUGGCGCAGCUAACGCAUUAAGUUAUCCGCCUGGGGAGUACGGUCGCAAGAUUAAAACUCAAAAUGAAAUUGACCGG
rnacentral:rRNA from 1 species